rnacentral:rRNA from 1 species
UACGAAGGGGGCUAGCGUUGUUCGGAAUUACUGGGCGUAAAGCGCGCGCAGGCGGCCAUUCAAGUCAGGGGUGAAAGCCCAGAGCUCAACUCUGGAACUGCCCUUGAAACUGUAUGGCUUGAGUAUGAGAGAGGUGAGUGGAAUUCCCAGUGUAGAGGUGAAAUUCGUAGAUAUUCGGAGGAACACCGGUGGCGAAGGCGGCUCACUGGUCCAUUACUGACGCUGAGGUGCGAAAGCGUGGGGAGCAAACAGG